UCGUGUUGUGCUUUCUCGUGUCCUAUAGUGACAGAACCCAACCAUGUAUUACUUUGGACAAUAGUAGAACCAAUUUUUUAAGAGAUGUGGGCACAUGUAUGGGUGUGAAAGAGAGAAAUCCCAUGUGAGCUCCAUCUUUUUUAGCUGCACCAAUGGGAACUGGAAUAAUUUUCAGCUCUUUUGUUGUUUACCUCAAGCAAUCUUGCACAGCAACUUUGAAAUAACUGUGAUUACCAUGACAACUCCAUGGGGUUGUUCACGAACUUCCUUUGUGGAAGGACUUGCAGGACAGCAAAUUCCCUUCACCCCACACAACCUCCCACAGUGAGAGCAUGGAAAAGCAGGAAGGUGCUUAUAAAAGAUGUGGAGAGAAGAAAAUUCAUAGAGGGACAGAGGAGCAGGAAUGUCCCCACAGCUGAGGUGACAGCAGCACUGCUGAUGCACAGGACUGUGUCAGGCAGUCUGCAUAGGAGGGUUCCCACACAACACAAUAAAGCAGAAAUGCACAGAACAGCUUCCCAAGGCACAGGGUGAGAAAUUCCUGCUGCUUGUCCAUCCCCAAGACAGUGAUGAUGGGGACGUCAGUGAUUUCCUGGAGGAAGGCUCUUUUUCUCUUCCAAUUCCUGAUGGAGGAGUUGAGCAGGAAGAAAAGCACCAUUUUCAGUGUCUUUGAAAGAGAACAAUUUGACCAACCAGCUCAAAACUGAUCAGGCAGCUCAGCAGGGGUAAUUCCAGCUGGGAACACUCUGACUCCUGGCCAGGAUAAAAGUUCUUCAUGUGCAGAGGAAGAAAGUCAGGUAUCAGCAGCUCUGACACUGCUCUGAUGCUUUGACACCUCCCAAAAACAGGACCAAGCCCAGCACUGCCUCUCUUUGUUCAGCUCUGCCUGAGGACACCUGAAGGACCCUGAAUAAAAAGCUUUAUUCCUCUCAAGGUUCAGUCACUGCCAGGCAACUUUUACUGCCCAAAAAAUCUGAUUCCACCACCAUUGCCACAUCCGUGCUCCUGAAGGAAGACUUGCUAAUAAAACCUCAUUUUCUCCUGGAACUACUGCAGAGUUAUUGUGAAACCUGGAUCUUCCUGAGGAGAGGAGUCACUUCUUCCUAAAGCAAGGAACAGGCAAGCAGGCAGCACAUCAUUGCUGAGAUUAAAGAAAAAAACAAAAAUAGGUAUUGUCCUGUAAGCCAAGAGGUUGGAAGUUAAUUUUAAAGGAGUUCACAGUGCAGGAUUUGAGGCUGUGACAAGAAUCUGUAUUUUGGGAUAAUAUCAAGAAUUCUUGGGAACUUGCUGUGCAAUCUUCAUGAAAGAUUCAUCUGGAGCUCCCCCAGGACGAAAUGCUUGUAGGUCAGGCUCUGACACUCCACUGAUGCCUGCAGCAGGGAUGAACCCUUAUUUCACCUCAAAACUCCAAGGGAAUUCAAGCAAAAAUCACUUUUGUUCUGCUGAGACAGCUGGACCUGGAGAAGCAACUGGCGCAUCUCUGAAAAUGUCCAUUUUUUGGCUCCCAUUCGAAAAUAAGAAUGCCCCCAAGCAACAGGUAAUUCCAAAUCACUGGGAAAAGCUUUAGUAUGUAAAAGAAGACAAACUAUUUGUCUGGGCAGCGAGAAAAUGAUAUUAUUAGACAGAAUUAACAAUUAAACUCUAGGUGAUCAAACUCAGUAGUCAUUUGUAACUUUGCUGUCGAUGUUUUGAAGACAUGCCAAGCACAGGACAGAGCCAGGCUAUCAGAUAAAACCUUUAAACAGAGAUAUUCUUCCACCUACACAAAUAACAGUUUCAGUUUGAUUUUGCUGAUUAUUAAAAAAAAAACUCCCACAAAUAUACCAGUAUUUUUUAAAACACUAAAAAAAAAAAAAAAAUUGUGGCAUAUUCUACUUAUUCCUGAGGGAUUUUGUCUUUGCUAUCACAGCCCAGCACUGCAGAGCAAAAGGAGAACAGCAGCAGAAUUUCUUUCUCCCUGUCAAAUAUUUUACCUUGUACUGCCAAGCAGGACUUCUGGUGUAUCAGCAUGGGCUAAUUAAGAAUAUAUUUUCUUCAAUUAUACUUUAAAUUAAUUGCUUUACCUAUCUUUACCGUGCUUCGUGUUUAAUUGCAUCCUAAACCACAAAAAUGCAAUUGUUUCAUCUCCUCUCAUUUUUCUGUGCCAUGAAACAUCUCUGUGGAUUCUUUUUUUAUUUCUGUUAUCUCUUUAUGGCAAGCUAAAAGCGAUGACAAACGAACACGCUAAUAAAGGGAAAACAAAUUAUUUAAAUCUUCAGGUUCUACAUUCAAUUGAAGUUGGAUAAUCUUGUCCUAUUUUUAGCACAAUCUGAACUCCCCUGAGUAGAAAACUGGCAUUUAACAAAUGUUGGAACUCUAAAAAGGAUAAAAAGCUGAACAUUUGAUGUCAGGCUUUUCUUGAUAAAAUCCUUCAGGAGAAAAAAGGAAGAUUAAUAGUCUGUGAGUAUUAUAAUGAACCUAGAAUAUCUGGUUUAGAAUAUCUAUUUUAAUUAUCAACACCAACUAUGGGUCGAGAGCUAUAUUUAAAAAACACCUUAAUUAUAGUAAAACGGACUAAUUUCAUUUCUUUCGGACUAAUUUCAUUUCUUUCAGGAGUUACAGAUGUGACAGAUUUACAGGAAUUUUUGGGAAACUGACAAUGGACAGGAGUAAAGUUGAGCCUGUGUUCAAGGGCUUUGAAGCUUCAAGGCUGUAAUUCAUUAUUGGAUAAAAAAAUAAGGCUUUUAACCAAACUAUUUAUGAACUGGAAAACCUGAUUUACAGAUUUUAAACUUUGCAGUUUCAGGUCAUAAAACAAAUCAGAAUAGGAGUGUUUCACUUCGUAGCAGAGCAAUGAAUGUUUCAAGCUUUGGUUUAGGACCAGCUUUAUGUUACAUUUACAAAGAAUCCUUAAACUUUGCAAAGAAAGAAAAACCCAAUUUUCAGGUACAUGAACGAUUUUUAUCAAUAGUUUUUCUGCCUAAAGAUUUAUUUUUCAUUUUUAUUUCACCAUGACAACUUGCAAAACAUUAACCCCAGUCCUUUUUAUACUGUUUUUUUUUCUUUUGGGUCAGGCAGAAAUGUGCUUUGUUUUGCCAAGAGGAAAAUGAACCUUGUCACUAUUGAAAUAAAAAGAUAUGUGUACCUUUAUAAUGUUUCUAUUUUUCUAUGUUUGAUAAGCAGACAUGCCUUAAACUUCCACCAGUAAAGUGUUCUAACAGCAGCCACCACUCCCUAAAAACAGAUUUGUGGAUUUUUGACAGCAUUGGUACUUUCUGGCAGAUGGGUAAUUCUUUAUGUCUUUGGUUUAUUGCAUUAGUUACCCCCAAAUCCUCAUCUGCUUUUAGAACAACUUCCUUAAAUAUUGAUCUUUUAUUGGAAGGCUGAGUGGGACGGAUUUCUGGGCUUUGGCACCAGAUGAGGUGAAUAUCCAUGAGAAGAUAUUAUCUCCAGUUAUAAAACUUCAAAUUAUCAACAGAAGCUAUAAAUGCUCCUAUCCCGAAAACAAACUUGUUGGAAUUCUAACUGCAACAACAAAGCA